rnacentral:rRNA from 1 species
UACGUAGGGCGCAAGCGUUAUCCGGAAUUAUUGGGCGUAAAGAGCUCGUAGGCGGUUCGUCGCGUCGGCUGUGAAAACCCGGAGCUCAACUCCGGGCCUGCAGUCGAUACGGGCGGACUUGAGUGUUGCAGGGGAGACUGGAAUUCCUGGUGUAGCGGUGAAAUGCGCAGAUAUCAGGAGGAACACCGGUGGCGAAGGCGGUUCUCUGGGCAUUACCUGACGCUGAGGAGCGAAAGUGUGGGGAGCGAACAGG